rnacentral:rRNA from 1 species
UCCUGGCUCAGGAUGAACGCUAGCGGCAGGCUUAAUACAUGCAAGUCGAGGGGCAGCACGAAUAGCAAUAUUUGGUGGCGACCGGCGCACGGGUGCGUAACACGUAUACAACCUACCUAUAACAGGGGGAUAGCCUUUCGAAAGAGAGAUUAAUACCCCGUAAUAAAUUGAGUGGCAUCACUUGAUUUUGAAAGCUACGGCGGUUAUAGAUGGGUAUGCGUCUGAUUAGCUAGUUGGUGAGGUAACGGCUCACCAAGGCGACGAUCAGUAGGGGAUCUGAGAGGACUAACCCCCACACUGGUACUGAGACACGGACCAGACUCCUACGGGAGGCAGCAGUAAGGAAUAUUGGUCAAUGGAGGCAACUCUGAACCAGCCAUGCCGCGUGCAGGAUGACGGCCCUAUGGGUUGUAAACUGCUUUUGUACCAGAGAAAACCUACUCACGUGUGAGUAGCUGAUAGUAUGGUAAGAAUAAGCAUCGGCUAACUUCGUG